CCUUGCUGAUGACUGGAUUGUAGCCUGGUGAGCCCCUGAGCAGAGGACCCAGGCUCAGACUCCUGACCCACUAUGAGGUCAUACGUCGGGGGUGUAUGAAGCCACUAAGAGCUUGGUAACUUUUUAUGCAGCACCAGGCAACUCGCAUAAGCAGAGACCUCGCCUGGGCGUUCUUUGGUGCAUCUCAGUGGCAGCACAGGGUCUCGUCCCUGGAUAACGAUGACCGUCAUAGGACAACGACACGAUUUAUGGAAAUGUGACGCCAAGAUGCUUGUUCUCAGGGAUGUGUCCAGGGAUGCCCUCCGGCUAGCAGGUGCUUGAGGAACACCUUGGCCUUCCAUCGCUGUUCGUGUGCUUCCAUAACCCUGUGCGUCCUCUUGGGGAGAGUUGCUGGCUUUAUCUGACCUGGUAACCUUGAUCAGGAAAACUCUGCAGAGAUUCUUUCCCCCCAGACACUUGGACUGAGCAAGUGUCUACCAGGUUUAACGGCAUGAUACCCAGGUGGAGUUCCAGAAAUUUGGAUUUCUGUCUUUGGGGUCAACAGGAUCAACCAAAGGGCAGAGAAAAACACCAAACUCUGUUUCCACAAACAACUGGCCUCUAGAGUCAUCCCUAUCAGUCGAUUUCUGUUUCCUAUUGUGAUUUCUUGGGGCCAAGGCCAGGGACAAACUUUGUACUUGUGGUCACAUGACACAUCCCGGCAGAGCCCUGCAGCUGUUUGAAAACCCCUGGCUGCUCUGGGGGACAGAGAUGCCCACGCCUGCGGGAUUUGGUCUGAAGCCUGGUUGGUUGUAUGAUGCUCUGUGUGGCUUGGGGAGCUUCACAGUUGCCACGUUCCUAGGCCUUGUGGCACGCUUUAGAACUGUUCCACUUGUUUUUCCCACCUUAUCUACAUAAACAACAUAACUUUGUCAGAAAAUUGAAAAUGUGCACUUUGUCCCAUCAGCUAAAAUGGGCUGUCAGAUAAGGCUUUUUUAAAUUUUUUUUCGUCCUCCAAUCGCAUCCGAUGAAUGAUGUAAAUGGUUUUUGGCUUUGGAGUUUCUCUCUCUCUCUCUCUCUUUUUUUUUUAGCCAGGCACUAGAGUAAAUGAUCAGAGUGGUAACAUUUUUAACCUUAUCUAUCAUACUGAAACAUUUUUUCUGCCUCCAAUAAAACAUGUCAGAGUCGAUUAAGGACAUUUUUCAAUGAGGUAUAAUUCACAGAUUUUAGUAGUGAAUCCAAGAGCACUGAAGUAUUAAAGAGGCUGUGAAUACUUAAUUACGGAUAUGUUACCGUUCUACCUUUGCUUGAAUUCCCUUAACGCUUUGGAGCUCUAUUCUGAAAAUGCGCGUGGUGUCUGAUGGCGGGGGUCGAAGGAGUAGCAGGUACGAUGGCCGGGGAUGUGUCACAUUGUAUCUGGUGACAGGGCUGUGAAAGAUACGGCAGCUCAGUACGUUUGGCGGUGCUUAUCUGGUACAUGAGUGCACAUUACUUCCCAAAGCCUGGGAUCACUUUGGACAGUAUCAUUAAAUGCCACGUCAUUACCUGUUAUAGAGCAGUGCUUUAGCUUCAAGGGCCUCUUGGGACACGUGCAACAGUCGGAAGAAUGAUGGGCAAAGAUGGAGCCGGCAUUAAAUUUUCAAUGGAAGCAGUAUUGGCUUUGACUUUUCAGAAGCCUUAUCUGUUAGAUGGUGUUUGUCACUGGGCCGCGGAGCUGUGGAUGUUCGUCAGUUGGAAGUUGCAGGCAGUUGAACGAUAUGGACAGGUGAAGGCUCCGUGGGGACCAGCCCGGCUCGCGGAGAGCUG